rnacentral:tRNA from 1 species
UACAUUAUAGUGUACGAAGCACGAGAGUUUUUGAUACUUUUAGAAACAGUUUAAUUCUGUUAAAUGUAA